UGGGGAAUAUUGCACAAUGGGCGCAAGCCUGAUGCAGCAAUGCCGCGUGUGUGAAGAAGGCCUGCGGGUUGUAAACUGCUUUUAUUUGGGAAUAAACCUUCUUACGUGUAGGAAGCUGAAUGUACCAAAUGAAUAAGCGUCGGCUAACUCCGUGCCAGCAGCCGCGGUAAUACGGAGGAUGCAAGCGUUAUCCGGAUUUAUUGGGUUUAAAGGGUACGUAGGCGGAAAAUUAAGUCAGUAGUGAAAUCCUGCAGCUUAACUGUAGAACUGUUAUUGAUACUGGUUUUCUUGAAUUUAGUUGAGGUAGGCGGAAUGUGUAAUGUAGCGGUGAAAUGCUUAGAUAUUACACAGAACACCGAUUGCGAAGGCAGCUUACUAAGCUAUGAUUGACGCUGAGGUACGAAAGCGUGGGGAGCGAACAGGAUUAGAUACCCUGGUAGUCCACGCCGUAAACGAUGAUCACUCGAUGUGUGCGAUAAACUGUACGCGUCCAAGCGAAAGCGUUAAGUGAUCCACCUGGGGAGUACGUUCGCAAGAAUG
rnacentral:rRNA from 1 species